rnacentral:other from 1 species
AAUUUCCUGUCUGGUGCGUGCUUUUGGUAAGAGAAUUUGUCCAAUACUAUAAAAUUGGGAGCUUAACUCUGGUUUUCUUUCGGGAUUACUAGGAAGGCACCCACGUAGUUCCAUCGGGGCUACAAUCUCUGCCUUUAGUUACGGCCAGAUGGGGUUUUA